rnacentral:tRNA from 1 species
CCCCCGUUAGCUCAGUUGGUAGAGCGCUCCACUUGUAAUGGAGAGGUCCCGGGUUUCGAUAAUCGGACCAGGCG